GCAGUGGUUUAUUUAAUCCUCAAAACAAGGCUAUGGAGCAAAUGCAAUCAUCUAUCUGCACCUUUUACAGAUUAGUAGAGUGAGGCACAUGGAGCAUGAAGGACCUGCCUGAGAGAGAGUCUGUCCCUUACAGAGGCCAGGAGCUGCUGCACAAGACGAUGGUUAAUGAUUCACCCACAGCCCUCAGGGAGCUCCUUUCAGCAGGGGCAACAGAUGCACUUACACAUUCUCUCUCUCUUUCUGUCUCUCUGUCUCUCUUUCAUCUUCAACUCUUCUUUACCCAGCAAGAGGCGGGUGUCCAACAAAUUGCUUGGCAACGCGCGGAGGAAACUCCAUCCAAAGCCCGGGUCUGCCGGGUCCAGCCGCCUCUGGGCGCUGUCCAGCGGGCAGAGCGCCUGAGAGGCCAGGCAGGGGUCCUGUCUCCGGACACCCCGAAGACAAAUACAGAAUUGUGGCUCAUAGUGGAACUGACAUCCUUCCCCACAGAGGAUGAAGGGACUUGCAGAGGACUUGAGGAGGUGGUGCCUUGAGACCCCUGGAGGAAAACACACCAAGGAUAACAAACAAUUCCAUUUAACUUGAUAGAGUUCCAGCUCUCAUGGCUGCAACAGUCAGGUAAAGUGAACCAGAGUGGGCUGAGGGUCCAGGAAAGUUUUCAUCUCAAUUCCAAGUCUGUUAUUCAGUGACUGGGUGACCUUUGAAUCAAACAGCUGAGCCUGGUUUCUUACCUAUAAAAUGAAGGUAGUACCAGCUUCAAGGGGUAACCUUGAUGAUGAAAUGACUAUAGUGCAAUGCCUGGUACAUAGAAAAUGCUUAAUUAAUUAAGCGAAUGAACGGUCCUUUUUAAAAAAACAAAGCAGUACCGUUAUUGGAUGAAGCUGCACUAGCCUUGAAAGCACAGGAUUGCUUAAUGUUGUACAUGACUUGUCCUUAUCGGCAUAUCGUUCCCCAGAUCCUGCGGGAGAGCCUUCACACAGCUUCCCAGACACUCCAUCUGGGGUUAAUCUGCAAUCAAGAAGCCCAGGAGGGUGGAGAUUUGGCAACCCCCUUCCCCAAACCCUUCUCCUCUCCAGCUGGCUCAGAAAAGCUUCACAUUUGCAGCUUCCAUGGCAAUUACAAGAACCUACUCCCUCUUAUUGUUUUUCUUUUCCCCGAUGAUGGAGCAAUCACAUGAUUUCAACAGGAAAAACAACUCUGGAAUCAGAGACUGUCUGAACUGAGCCACAGACUUUCUGGUCUCCAGGUCUGAGUCCCUGGAGGGAAAAGACAUUUGAUGCUGGUGGGAUGGGGGAUGAGCUGGACAAGAAGCAUGACCGGCAUAUGCUCAUACCAGGGCGGCCAACUGAACAGGUUCUGUUUCAGGAUUAAAAACAGUACAAACCCAGCUAGGAGCUCGUAUUUACUGAGUGCUGAGGACCAGGCACUUUACAGGUGUUGUCAAACUUAAUCAUCACAACAGUCUAAAAGGAGUGUUUAUUAUCUUCAUUCUAUGGGUGAGGAGAAGGAAGCUCAGAGAGGGGCCUCUGAGGA
rnacentral:lncRNA from 1 species